rnacentral:rRNA from 1 species
UACCGGCGGCUCGAGUGGUGGCCGAUAUUAUUGAGUCUAAAGGGUCCGUAGCCGGCUUUGCAAGUCCUGUGGGAAAUCCAGCGGCUUAACCGUUGGGCGUCUGCGGGAUACUACAUUGCUUGGGACUGGGAGAGGUAGGAGGUACUCAGGGGGUAGGAGUGAAAUCCUGUAAUCCUUUGGGGACCACCGGUGGCGAAGGCGUCCUACCAGAACAGGUCCGACGGUGAGGGACGAAAGCUAGGGGC